GCGUGGGUAACCUGCCCUGUACAGGGGGAUAACAGUUAGAAAUGACUGCUAAUACCGCAUAAGACCACAGCACCGCAUGGUGCAGGGGUAAAAACUCCGGUGGUACAGGAUGGACCCGCGUCUGAUUAGCUGGUUGGUGAGGUAACGGCUCACCAAGGCGACGAUCAGUAGCCGGCUUGAGAGAGUGAACGGCCACAUUGGGACUGAGACACGGCCCAAACUCCUACGGGAGGCAGCAUG
rnacentral:rRNA from 1 species